CCGACUGAGCGGUGCCUCUCUUUCCCGCAGGUGCAACCAUGGCCAAGUCCAAGAACCACACCACGCACAACCAGUCCCGUAAGUGGCACAGAAAUGGCAUCAAGAAACCCAGAUCCCAUAGAUACGAGUCUCUCAAAGGGGUUGAUCCCAAGUUUCUGAGGAACAUGAGAUUUGCAAAGAAACACAACAAAAAGGGGCUGAAGAAGAUGCAGGCCAACAAUGCCAAGCAGGCUGCUCAGCAGAAAAAGGACUGACGUGGUUUAAGACAGAAGAACCAAUUUUCUUAUUGGCAUGCGUGUUACAGCUUUUUUGUAAAAAUAAAAUUGGA